UAUGUGCGCGACGGUGGCGACGCGUAGCGUUUACAACAUUUGCGGAAGCUGUCAAAUAAUAACCAUGUAAACAUUAUAAUUUUCUUUGCGAAUAUAAAUAAAACCAAAGAUUAAAAUAGUGUUGUUGACAUUAUUUAAGUGCAAUGUAUUCAAUAGUUUUACUGUAAAAUGAAUAUAAUGAUAAAAACCGGGUUUGAAACAUCCGCAUUUGUUUCCAAUUUCUGCCGUGUUGUGCGCUGCGGUCGUUAUUGUCCGCCGUUAGGCGAUUAUCACACUGCCCCGCAUGAUGCAGCGUAGUGCGUGGAUGCGUUUUUUUCCGUUGUAUGGAAAUAUCUCCGUUUGUAUGGAAAACACGCAUAGUCCAACACACUGAAGAUGCAUCUACGCGCGUUCAUGCGGAUCACGCACAUACAUGCGGAGAAACACGCACCCCCGCGCGUAGGUGCGGGGCGAGACGCAAGGUAUGGCACACUGAUCCCGCAGUGACGCGCGUGAUUUUGAAUGGGCGUGACGUGUAUAUUUGAAAAUGGAACUCGAUGAGAGCCGCCGUGCGUGAAUUUACAAAACGCACCUACGCGCGUGAGUGCGUGAAAAACCCGCACGAUGAUGCAGAUCUGCACUCCCGCAGGAACGCGCGUAGGUGCGUCGACACGCAAGAUGCAGCGUGAUGCGGGGCAGUGUGAAGAUCACCUUA
rnacentral:lncRNA from 1 species